rnacentral:rRNA from 1 species
UACGUAGGGGGCAAGCGUUGUCCGGAAUCAUUGGGCGUAAAGCGCGCGUAGGCGGCCCGGUAAGUCCGCUCUGAAAGUCCAGGGCUCAACCCUGGAAAGCGGGUGGAUACUGCCGGGCUAGAAUCCGGAAGAGGCGAGUGGAAUUCCUGGUGUAGCGGUGGAAUGCGCAGAUAUCAGGAGGAACACCGGUGGCGAAGGCGGUUCUCUGGGAAUGUUCUGACGCUGAGGAGCGAAAGUGUGGGGAGCGAACAGG